AUUCUUCUAAAAAUCUUCAUUUGUGUUCUACAGAAGAAAGAAAGUCAUACAAAUCUGGGAUGGAAUGAGAAAGAGAGAAAGUCAUACACAUCUGGCAUGAGGCUGUGACGCAGGUCUGCUUGCCCUGAUAGAUGCUGGGUGACAUCUAGCCUGACCUGGCAUUAUGG